ACGGCUCAGUAACACGUGGACAACCUACCCUGAGGAGGGGGAUAACCCCGGGAAACUGGGGAUAAUACCCCAUAGACUAUGGAUGCUGGAAUGCUCUGUAGUUAAAAGGCCCGCCGCCUCAGGAUGGGUCUGCGGCCGAUUAGGUUGUUGUUGGGGUAACGGCCCAACAAGCCUGUAAUCGGUACGGGUUGUGGGUGCAAGAGCCCGGAGAUGGAUUCUGAGACACGAAUCCAGGCCCUACGGGGCGCAGCAGGCGCGAAAACCUUACAAUGCGAGCAAUCGUGAUAAGGGAACUCCGAGUGCCCGUAAAAUCGGGCUGUCCGCCAGUGUAAAUAACUGGUGAAGAAAGGGCCGGGCAAGACCGGUGCCAGCCGCCGCGGUAAUACCGGCGGCUCGAGUGGUGGCCACUAUUACUGGGCUUAAAGCGUUCGUAGCUAGUCUGUUAAGUCUCUGGGGAAAUCUUCCGGCUUAACCGGAAGGCGUCUCAGGGAUACUGACAGACUAGGGACCGGAAGAGGUGAGAGGUACUCCAGGGGUAGGAGUGAAAUCCUGUAAUCCUUGGGGGACCACCUGUGGCGAAGGCGUCUCACCAGGACGGCUCCGACAGUGAGGAACGAAAGCUGGGGGAGCAAACCGGAUUAGAUACCCGGGUAGUCCCAGCUGUAAACGAUGCGCGUUAGGUGUAUCGGUGACCACGAGUCACCGAGGUGCCGAAGAGAAAUCGUGAAACGCGCCGCCUGGGAAGUACGGUCGCAAGGCUGAAACUUAAAGGAAUUGGCGGGGGAGCAC
rnacentral:rRNA from 1 species